CUGCAGAUUCAGAACCAUCUGCUUCCAAUGGAGAUGAGAUUAAUUGAAUAAUCAAGGUGUCAAAAAGAAGGAAAAGAGAGAUAAAAGGUGCUCAUCGAGUCCAGUUUAGAAGAACCUUUCAAGAUGCGUAGGAGGUAUAAGCUACUAGAAUUCAUGGUACCCUGUUAGACUAGAUUGACCGAAAGACAAACUGGAGAACAAACUACACAAUUGCAGGUGGUUCUAAUCAGAUACCUCGAUCGACUUGCAGAAUUCAAUAUCGGACCAGCAGUUCUCAUCCAUGACUUGACCUUUUGAGAGAUUUGGGUUCACUACAACAGCACCUAUGCUUGACGCAUAGACAACUUUGUUCACCUUUGCCUUUACAGAUGCAUCCAGUACAUUCAACGUUCCUUUUACAGAUGGUUCAAUCAGGUUUAUCUGCAAAAAGUGAUGAUAAAACAGCCACUUUUUUUGGUCCGGAUUGAGUUACUAACUCAUACCGUAGUUAAGAAAUAUAGAGACUUGCCUUAUAAUUGAGAGCACUGAUUAAACUGGGUAGAGGAACAGGACAGGCAAUAUGGAAGACACCACUACACCCAGCAAUGGCAAUGCAAAGACCAUCAUAGUCCAGUAAAUCUGCCUUGAAGAGCUUCAGAUUCUCCUCAGCAUGUUCUAGUUUCUUCAGGUGUGGAGGGUACUUGGCCAUGGAGCUUGUGAAGUUUCACUUCUCGAAGCUGUUCAAGAAAGACUUGGUGCACUGUGAGAGUCGAGCUGUUCUGCCAUUUCUGGGUGCAGUAGCGUUUCCACAUUGCAAGCCCAUUUCGUCCUGGAAGUUCAUUAAUUGUAAGGCAAGGUGCAAGCUUUCUUAACAGCGUGACUAGGGUGUCGAUCAUGCCAUUAAGAAUUAGAGGUUUUAUGAUCAUUAUUGACAGGUAAAAUUGAUCCAACCAGCUGUGAAAGCAACACCGAAUGUAUUAUCAAAGUUAGGGGUGGCAAAACUCUCUCUCAUUCGGAUGAUCGA